rnacentral:lncRNA from 1 species
AUCAUGGGAGCCAUUUUUCCUCCUCACUCUCUCUCUCCACUCCUCAACAUCAAACCUUCACCCUCAAGAAUCCUCUUGGCUCCCUCUCCUCAACCCAAGUCAAAUUCUCUCUUUUGCUCCAAACCCAUUGUUUCCAGUCUCAGAAAGAAUCAAACUUCAUCUCCUAAACCUUCAUGCACAACCUGGUUGUCUCAUGCUCAACAGGGCCUAGCAGCUUUGGCUAUCUCCUUGGCCCUCAACUUUAGCCCAGUUUUGUUCAGUGGCAAUGCUCUGGCAUCUGAGUUUGAUGU